ensembl:lncRNA
AUUUCCUGCUCACGUUUUUUUUUCAGGGUUCAGCAGGCCGAGCAUGGGUGAGACCGGCAGCAUUUGUGACUAUCUCAGAAGGCAAACCAGAUAACACAGUGGCUCUUGAAAACCGAGCCCUUCAAGGCAACCAGGAGCUCAUUAUUCCAUUCAGAGGACUUCCACGUGCGCUAUGGCAUUUGAACCUCCUACUCUAGAAUCUGGAGGAACAGAGAAGAUGGGGGUCUAACUCUUGGCUGAGAGCUGAGGCACCUGAAACCCAGACUUCCACUGUCAUCCAUGACGCAGUGGCUGAUGCUUCAACCCGUAAAGGAAGAGACACAGUGGUGGCUUGGUUUCAACAACUUCUGUGAAAAUCAGCAGCCUGAAUCUGCAAGCCUCCUCCUUCCCAAUUGAUGGCCCCCAGCUGUGAUUUCUCCAGUAAUUACAUAUUGGAUUCCUGAUACUACAAGUUGAUAAGUCCAGGCUAACCUGCUGAAGGAAAAGAGAUUGCUUGGAGCAGAACCAAGUUGUCCUAACUAAAGCUGUCUAUACCAUCCAGACCCUCGCUGGCCCAAUAGC